ACCUAAACCCGAUUGAAAUGGAAAGCCCGUAGCGCAGCGAGGACUUGAAAUGAAAAGCGGGAACAAAC
rfam:Pedobacter ginsenosidimutans strain KACC 14530 contig01, whole genome shotgun sequence.